rnacentral:rRNA from 1 species
ACGGAGAGUUUGAUCCUGGCUCAGGACGAACGCUGGCGGCGUGCUUAACACAUGCAAGUCGAACGGUAAGGCCCCUUCGGGGGUACACGAGUGGCGAACGGGUGAGUAACACGUGAGCAACCUGCCCUUGACUUCGGAAUACCAGCUGGAAACAGCUGCUAAUACCGGAUAUGACACUUGCCCUCCUGGGUGGGUGUGGAAAGCUCCGGCGGUCAGGGAUGGGCUCGCGGCCUAUCAGCUUGUUGGUGAGGUAAUGGCUCACCAAGGCGACGACGGGUAGCCGGCCUGAGAGGGCGACCGGCCACACUGGGACUGAGAUACGGCCCAGACUCCUACGGGAGGCAGCAGUGGGGAAUAUUGCACAAUGGGCGAAAGCCUGAUGCAGCGACGCCGCGUGCGGGAUGACGGCCUUCGGGUUGUAAACCUCUUUCAGCAGGGAAGAAGCCACAAGUGACGGUACCUGCAGAAGAAGCGCCGGCUAACUACGUGCCAGCAGCCGCGGUAAUACGUAGGUGGCAAGCGUUAUCCGGAAUUAUUGGGCGUAAAGCGCGCGUAGGCGGUUUCUUAAGUCUGAUGUGAAAGCCCACGGCUCAACC